GCCGAAGUGGCGAAAUAGGUAUACGCAGCUGAUUCAAAAUCAGCCGUACUUAAUGUACAUGCCGGUUCAAUUCCGGCCUUCGGCA
rnacentral:tRNA from 1 species